rfam:Triticum aestivum genome assembly, contig: Triticum_aestivum_CS42_TGACv1_scaffold_577680_7BL
GUAAUACUCCCUUCGUCCGAAAAUACUUGUCAUUAAAAUGGAUAAAAAAGGACGUAUCUAGAACUAAAAUACGUCUAGAUAUAUUUUAUUUUAUCCAUUUUGAUGACAAGUAUUUCUGGACGAAGGGAGUAUAAA